UAGACAGGACUAACUUCCGCAUUCCGCUUCUGUAUCCCGCCUUGCCACGUAGACAAGAAGACCCUAAUCUAUAAAAACCCCAGGAAUCCUUUGUUCAUUGCUCAGAAUUUGGAAAUGACUCCUCUGAGCCCAUGCAUGUAAAAUAAACCUCGUACUCCAAAAUCCCUCGGUGUUUGGUCGCUUCAUUUCCCACAACAUUUGGUUCCCUGACCGGGAAAUCGCGACCUCACACUAAUUCAGGCCUUUUGUCACCGUCUGGAAACGCCGGGAGGCGGCCGCAGGACCAACUGGGGAAAGCGGGGGUGCACGUGCCCUGAGAUUUCUUAGGCCCCGUCCGGUUGGGGCGGCGGCCGCUGACCCGCACAGCCAGGCGGGAAGUGAGAGAUUCUGGACUACGACUUGAUUAAAGGCCUUGAUUGGAGGCGCCAAACUUGAAAAAAAAAAAAAAACGCGCGCCAGCUGGGUCCGCAGGUGCCGGAGCCGAGGAAUCUGACUGGUUGAAACAAAGCAGCACGGAGGCCGCGCCGGCGCCGGUGUUGACGAGAUGAGUAUUCCGUCCCCAGAGUUCUCCCAGUCAGCAAUGCUGGGACCCUCGCUCGCUGAUUGGAAAAGCGCGCACACUUCUCGCGUCCCCGCACCCCCUUUCUCUUCCCCUUAUCGGCACCCCAGGUGGCGGGGCGGGGGCGGGAGGCUGUCUCCUCGGGACAGACGGGAUUGCCGAGGUGCUGGGUAGCUCCUCCGAGCGACCGCUUCCCCCUCCCCAGCCCCGGAGACAGGGUCGGAGGGCGAGAGCCAGGGGCCUGGCGGCUGGGGGGCAGGACAGGCAGUCCCCAGUGUGCAACGGGCUGGUCGAACUGUCUAGCCUAGAGCAGGAGGUUUCCCUGCUAGCGGGAGACCUGGAUUUUCUUUGGGAGUGCUAUACUGUAAACCCCCUCCCCGACCGUGCUGACUUCGGUGGCUGGCGGAGCCCUUCCCCCCAGGCUACUGCUGACUAGGGCGGCAGCCCCGCUGGCUGUUUCCUAGCAACGGGUAGGGUUUCAGCCAGUGGGCGGGGCUGAUGGCAGGCACUGAAGUGAGUUUUCUGCUGCAGCAGCUUGAGGCGUGAGGAAUUUUAAGUUCUGAAAUGUUUGCCAGUGAGGACCUUGUAAUUCGACUGGUCUGGCAAUUGUGAGACGAGCUCAUCAUACUUUAAAAGAGUCUUGAGCCUUUCCCCCCGAGAGUGAUUUAUUGGCCAUUUUAACUCUUAGCUCGGAGAGGGGAGUGUGCUGUUUGCCUUUCUGAAUGACCUUUAGCUCCAGGUUUCUCCAAGCUGUGUGGAAUUCCAACCAGCGCCCCUGGAGUGGUCACCUAAGAGAGACUUUUAAAGAGACUAAAUUAAUGCUGCAAACAAGCAAGAGUGUUUUCAGAUUCUUCAUGCUGAAAGUAACUUUGUAAAGUCUGUGCUAAUUCUUCCAAAAUUGAAAUGUAACCAAACCUGUUACUUUUAUGUAUCCCAUGUGUUUAUAUGAUUUUUCAACUGACUAGAUUUAAGAAUUUGAGCUGUAACAACCCAGAAAUGCCUUAAUUAAUUCCUGUUUGUACUCUAUAAUGUAUAUAGAAAUUGUUCCUUGUAAUUGCAUUCGAGAAUAACAAAUAGCAGAUUUCACAGGCCUAUUUUGAUUUGAUUUUAUAAACAAGAGUAAAGAGAUAUUGCUAACCGCUCUGUGCCGCUGCCCUUAGGGUCUGGGGGCGAGAGACGACCUCUGGAGUGCAAGACUCCCUGGUGGCAGGCACUGCCUUGGGUUUCUCUCCCUGCCCCCCAGAGCUUGGUCGGAAGUCGGUAGCGAGUGGGACUUCCCCCCAGCUUUGACAAAGCCCUGAGUCCCCGUAUAUUCUGGGAGAAGCGCUUUCUGACUUCGAUCUCCUUAGGCCUGAAUGCCUACUAGGGAGAGGUGCAACUCCCGUGCCUUGCUAGAGUUAGGAAAAAUUUGGCGUCACAAAAGCUUGCUAAUGAACCUGUGAAGUCUGCUAGGAGUGCUUUCAUUCAUAUGAUAAGAGUCCGAGGGGUCCUAGUGUGUGAGAAGCUUAGAUAGAGCCGCUGGGACGGCGGAUAGGCUGCCUCUGGAUUGGGAGCAGGCUUGGGACCUCGUUUGCCCCUUUCUCUCUGGUGCCCCUCGGUUGUCCCUGCUCCCCUGCACACUGGCUCGGCCACUGGGGCAUGCUCUGAGCUAAUUCCUGUCAUCUGUCUAUGUAGGGGAGCUGACCUGGGUGCCCUGGCUUCCCAUGACUUUGGCAUGGACUGCCCUGGUUAUAGAUAGGUUCAGGGUUCCCUCCGGGGGCCGGCCGGCUCCGAAGGUCAGCCAUUCUGGGGUACAAAACGUUUCUAGCUGCAGCAGUCAGGUUCUCUGUGUAACUGAUUCUGAUAGGAAUCGCUUUAGUUUUAGAAGUCAUGAAAUGAGAUCCAAGAGUGACCACCUGAUUUAUAGGGUAUGGUAUUUGCAAGGUCUAGGCUUCAGAAGGUUUGAAAGGAAUGUGCCUGCAAAUCUAGAGACUUUUAGUAAAAGAUACCUGAAGUACUAGGGAUUUUUAGCUGCCGCAUACUGAGUUUAAGCAUUGAGUUUAACUACAGCCUUUCCCAGUGUGGGAAAGAAACCAAGAUUAAAAGAAAGUGAUAGUUAAAUCUAAAUGAGCAAAAAUGUGUAUAAAGGAUAUGAAAGUUUUAAACCUAGAGUAAAGGAAACCUCAACUACUUGUUUUCUAAUUUCAUGGAAAAAGCAAAUUUCUCACAUGUAGUUCUGUUUCUAAUCAGAAACCUGUGUUUUAAGACCUAUUGAAGGUCACCUGAAGACCUAAGGAAGGUCACUGUAGCCGGUUGGGGAGAAUGCUUUUGCCACCUGGGACCCAGGAAGGGUCAUUUGGGGCUGAUAAGUGUUUCAGCCUGAGGCAAAGAGCAUGUCUCUGCCAUGAGACCGGAUUGGAAGAGAGCAAGUCUCUGCCAUUGGUUUUGCUUCUGAUCAGAAACCCUGUGUACCUGAAGACCUAGGGAAGGUCACCUGUAGCCGGUUGGGGAGAAUGCCUUUGCCACCCGGGACCCAGGAAGGGUCAAUUGUGGCUGAUGAGUAUAUCAGCCUGAGGCAAAGCAGCAUGUCUCUGCCAUGAGACCAGAUCUGAAGGAGCAUGUCUCUGUGAGGCACCAGUGGACGCAUCGGUGCAAGAGAAUGUCUCUACCUGUAUUGUUUCAGAACUCUGUGUUUCAGGUUUUGCUCUGUAUCUGCUCUGAAAAAGAAACUGAGGAUUCCAGGAAAGGUUAAAACUUCAUACUCUGUAAAAAAAAGUAAACAAAAGAAAAUAUAAGAUAUGAAAAUGAAAAAAUAUAUAAAAGGUUGUAGAAGUUUGCAAAAGUUUGGAAAGGAAUUAUAUAAAGUUAAUAAUAGAAGGUAAAAGGCAUAGAGAUGCAAUCUUAAUAGGUAUCAGAAGAAAAAAAGAUUUUCCAUCAUGCUUUGUAUUUUUCUCCUAACCCCUCCAGAAUUUGGCAUUGUCUGAAGGAAUAAUGACACUAUAAGGUUUCUUUGCAUAAAUUCAAUAAGACCAGCCAUUAAUAGUAGUUUUGUUAACCAGGACUUUGACUGGAAUGUCACGCCUGAAGGAGGCAUAUAGGUUCUGGUCAUUACCGGAAAGCUCAGAGGAACUAGGAUUGACCUGUGAAGCUAGUGAAAGCCCACAAGAAAAGCCUGGUACUUUAGCUAGUUGUGUGGUUCGUGCCAGUCUUUCCAGGGGAGGAAUGAAGGUUGCUUUCCUGAAAGAUGGCUGAAAAGGAACCUGUAAGCACAAUGGACGCUCAAGGAUUUGAGUGAAACAACUGGUACAGGCGAGGCCAGAUGUGUGGCGCUGCUAUGCCCUGAGAGGCAGAUUGAAAAGUCAAUCUAAGAGUUCCCUGGGUAAGUGUAUGAGUUCCAGCAAAGCAGACUUAAGGAUCACAAGUGAUCCAGGCUGCUCUUGGGGUGUUUAUGCAAACGAACAGUCAAAAUUAAAAGCGGGACCCAAAGUAGUCCCUGUAAUAACAGUGAGGGUAAUCUUAAGGAGAAAAAUUAUAGUUCAAGGAAAAUCACAGUGCUCAGCAUUAGACAUCAGAGUGGUACAGCUAACUGUCUUGAAAAUUUGCUCUCAUUUGAAAGUUAAAACCAGGUUUGUGAUGUCACCAAAGAUGUACAAUUUACAGGUGCAAAGGACCUUGUCAAAUUGCCACUGUUAAAUGUCAUUGUAAGAAGGACCUUGCAAUAGAAUGUCUUCCCAAAAGACAGUCUCACGGGCGCAGAGACUGGUUUAGGGAUAGUUAUGCCAAUUAACCUAUGUGUUCUUCUGUUUUCAUAGGGCCUAUGCCUAUGACUUGCCUAUGCCUAUGAGAGAUUAGUUGCAAGAUAGGCCUCACUUAAGGAGCCCAUCUCCAUCAUUACCCCACUAAGACUCAAUGGUUUGGCUGAACUAAGUAGUUGGGUUAGUAAAAGACUGGGGCGGUUUGUGGGCUUCACUUUAGAACUAAUUUUCUCUUUUCUGUCUUGAUAGCUUGGACAGAAAGGGCUCAGAAACCUGAAAGGAGGGAACUCCUAAUCAUUACUGAAGUGCCUGCCAUUGUCUAUUAAUAGUUAUUAUUAAAUUGUACUUCCAAUUUCUUGCCUAAUCUGUCACCUCCAGAACAUGACCUGACCAGAAUGACAGCGGUCCAGUAAUGCCAGCCUCUGGACACCAAGCCUGCGAUGUCCGGGUGACAGCCAACUGACCAGGACCCUGUGAGGUCUUUCCCCUUACAGGAAAGACUCCCUCCGUGCUGCUCCCCUUCAGGGCACCCCAACCCAAGGGUAAAUAAGACAGCGUCCAUUUCCAGCUUGGAAGAAGUUACAAGAAGAUGAGACCUCCGUCCCUUUUCCUUUAUAUAAUUAUGAAAUAGGUAUAAAUCUAAAAGGAAGAAUAUUAAUACAGAGUGCAUCCACAGGGAGCCCCAGAAAAGAUUUAGGAUGAGAUCCAAGGUUCAGGGUAUCCAAGAGAUAUUGAGGUGUACUCACCACUCCCCGGGAGAGGGGGACGAAUAGAGCGGGGCCAGUGAGAGAUGUUGUACAUAGCAACAGGUUUGCAGCUGACCUCUAAGGUAAUUAUUUGACAUAUAGCUUUUAGCUAGUUUCAUAGAUAUAUUGAAUAGUAUGGCCAGACUUAGAGCUAAGGAAAUAAAGUCACUUACCCAGGAUAUGGCUAGGAGCAGAGCCCCUGAGGGGGGGAGGCCUGUGUCAGAGCUUAGAAAAGAUCAACUCCAGGCCAUAAGGGGAUAAACUACCCAGGUGAAAGAGGGCACCGCAUAGUUUAAGGCAGAGUGCCGACCCCUGCAGCUUUGGUGAAGGAGGCCCAUGUGGCUUUGGGGUUCCCCCUUUGGCUGUGUAGCCUAGAGGGCAGGAGAGACUUUGACUGGAACUUAGUACAAAAAAGGACCUCUUGCCAGUGGACUGUGAGGGAGUGCCACAUAACUUUGGAUUGGCCAAAGAUCCUGCCUGAUGCAGCUGAUGAUAACAGCGGCCUGAGACACAGAUGUGUGCUCUUUCCUGGUUUGCAGUGCCCGGAGUUAGAACAAAGCAAGUAGAGAGCAAAGACAUAAAAAUAUUUUAAGUUAAAAAGGAGAAGAAAAAACUUAGUUUCUGACUACUCUUUUGCAAUAAUAAAACUAGAAUUAUAAGUAAUAGCAAGAAAAAUACCUAGUCUUUACACCAUCUGUAUUCUUUUUGUUCUAAAUCUUUGUUUACUUUGUUAGAACCAUGUAAGUAGUUCUACAGAGAAGUGUGUAAUAGUCCAAAAGGGAAAAGAAAGAAACCUCAUUAAUACUCUAAAUCUAAGAAAAGGGGGGACUUGUUUAUUCUUACAAAAAUAUAUAUUAUGCUUAAACAAGCAACCAGUGCUGUUUAGCAUAAAAGGGGGGAAUGAUAUGGGAAACUUUGAAAAACCUCUGUUUAACCUUUAUUUGCCCAGGCCCCAGGCGCCCUGGGGAGAAUGAUGGGGCUGUCUAGGAUAAGUAAACAACAGUGCAUUAGCUAGGACUGAGAUUAACACCCCUGCUUCUGUGUCCUUGGAGCCCUGGAACUGAAUAAUAGGAGCCUUUGAACCCUGCCCCGUAAAUAGAACUAAUUAUCGCAUUCUGCUUCUGCCCCGUAGACACCUGUGUCCUUGAGCCCUGGCUCUGCCCCUAGACAGGACUAACUUCCGCAUUCCGCUUCUGUAUCCCGCCUUGCCACGUAGACAAGAAGACCCUAAUCUAUAAAAACCCCAGGAAUCCUUUGUUCAUUGCUCAGAAUUUGGAAAUGACUCCUCUGAGCCCAUGCAUGUAAAAUAAACCUCGUACUCCAAAAUC